rnacentral:rRNA from 1 species
AGUGAACGCUGGCGGUAGGCCUAACACAUGCAAGUCGAACGGCAGCACAGUAAUAGCUUGCUCUUACGGGUGGCGAGUGGCGGACGGGUGCGGAAUACAUCCGAAUCUACUUUUUCUUGGGUGCUGACGUAGGGACACUUACGCUAAUACCGCAUACGACCUACGGGUGAGAGCAGGGGAUCUUCGGACCUUGCGCGAUUCAAUGAGCCGAUGUCGGAUUAGCUAGUUGGCGGGGUAAAGGCCCACCAAGGCGACGAUCCGUAGCUGGUCUGAGAGGAUGAUCAGCCACACUGGAACUGAGACACGGUCCAGACUCCUACGGGAGGCAGCAGUGGGGAAUAUUGGACAAUGGGCGAAAGCCUGAUCCAGCCAUACCGCGUGUGUGAAGAAGGUCUUCGGGUUGUAAAGCCCUUUUGGUGGGAAAGAAAAGCAGUAAGUUAAUACCCCGCUGUUUUGACGGUACCAAAAGAAUAAGCACCGGCUAACUUCGUG